rnacentral:rRNA from 1 species
GUAAUACGGAGGAUGCGAGCGUUAUCCAGAUUUAUUGGGUUUAAAGGGUGCGCAGGCGGCGUGUCAAGCAAGCGGUAAAAUAGCGGGGCUCAACCCCGUCGAGCCGUUUGAACUGGCGCGCUUGAGUUCAGGCGAGGUAGGCGGAAUUCGUGGUGUAGCGGUGAAAUGCAUAGAUAUCACGAAGAACUCCGAUUGCGAAGGCAGCUUACCAGUCUGCGACUGACGCUCAGGCACGAAAGUGUGGGUAUCGAACAGGAUUAGAUACCCUGGUAGUCCACACAGUAAACGAUGAGCGCUAGGUGUCCGGGUCGAAUGAGGCUUGGGUGCCCGAGCGAAAGCGUUAAGCGCUCCACCUGGGGAGUACGCCGGCAACGGUGAAACUCAAAGGAAUUGACGGGGGCCCGCACAAGCGGAGGAACAUGUGGUUUAAUUCGAUGAUACGCGAGGUACCUUACCCGGGCUCAAACGACUCAGGAAUAUAUUGGAAACGAUGUAGCCAGCAAUGGUCUGAGUCGAGGUGCUGCAUGGUUGUCGUCAGCUCGUGCCGUGAGGUGUCGGCUUAAGUGCCAUAACGAGCGCAACCCCUACCGCCAGUUGCCAACGGGUAAAGCCGGGAACUCUGGCGGGACUGCCGGCGCAAGCUGCGAGGAAGGCGGGGAUGACGUCAAAUCAGCACGGCCCUUACGUCCGGGGCGACACACGUGUUACAAUGGCAGGUACAGCGGGAAGCCACCUGGUGACAGGGAGCGGAACCCGAAAGCCUGUCUCAGUUCGGAUUGGAGUCUGCAACUCGACUCCAUGAAGCUGGAUUCGCUAGUAAU